rnacentral:rRNA from 1 species
AACGAACGCUGGCGGCAUGCCUAACACAUGCAAGUCGAACGAGACCUUCGGGUCUAGUGGCGCACGGGUGCGUAACGCGUGGGAACCUGCCUUUAGGUUCGGAAUAACUCAGAGAAAUUUGAGCUAAUACCGGAUGAUGUCUUCGGACCAAAGAUUUAUCGCCUUUAGAUGGGCCCGCGUUGGAUUAGCUAGUUGGUGGGGUAAAGGCCUACCAAGGCGACGAUCCAUAGCUGGUCUGAGAGGAUGAUCAGCCACACUGGGACUGGGACACGGCCCAGACUCCUACGGGAGGCAGCAGUGGGGAAUAUUGGACAAUGGGCGAAAGCCUGAUCCAGCAAUGCCGCGUGAGUGAUGAAGGCCUUAGGGUUGUAAAGCUCUUUUACCCGAGAUGAUAAUGACAGUAUCGGGAGAAUAAGCUCCGGCUAACUCCGUG